AGCUAUAUUGCUUCGUCUUCAAUUUUUCCUUGAACAAGCUUGACACGACUGACUAUUGUCAGAUUUUGCCUUAAUAAAGAAAUGUUCGCAAUAUACCAGAAAUACAAAUACAAAUUUCGCGAUACUUUUUUUAUAGACCUCGUAUUGCUUAUAAAAUUAAAGUAUGAGAUAAAAGGCAUUUAAUUAUUCUACUAAUGAAUAAAAAGAAUUUGUCAUUGUGUGCAUAGAUAGAGUGACAGAUGUCAAAUUUUAUAUUUUCUUUUCUUUUACUUAAUUUUGAGUUAUUCCUGAAAAAUUUGAAUAAAGUGCAUUCUGCUAUAGGCGAUGAAGAAAUCCUCGUCUGGAGGACACUAUUAUUCCUAUCUGCAAUGACAUAGGAAAUGAUACAACGUCUCAUCAUUUCCUCCAUAUGCCUUACGAACGAUACCACUUGCCACACCUAUUCUGUGAACUAUGAAGUUUUUGACGCCAGCACGGUAUUUCCUUUUCCAAUUUGUCAAUUUCCUUACUUAGGUGGCAGAUGGAUAUUGAGUUGUCCAAGUUCUAAAAAAAAAAAAAAUAUUUUAGUUAUGUCUCCAUACUUGAAAUACAGUUUCUUUGAACCAAA